UGCGCCAUGGUUUAGUUGGCUAUAACGUCCGACUGUUAAUCGCAAGGUCGGGAGUUCGAGCCUCUCUGAGGCAG
rnacentral:tRNA from 1 species